rnacentral:rRNA from 1 species
UGCAGAGGGUGCGAGCGUUAAUCGGAGUAACUGGGUGUAAAGGGCGCGUAGGCGGUUUUAUGUGUGGGGUGUGAAAGCCCCGGGCUUAACCUGGGAAGUGCAUCGCAAACUAUAAGACUAGAGUAUAUGAGAGGGUGGCGGAAUUUCCGGUGUAGCGGUGAAAUGCGUAGAGAUCGGAAGGAACGUCGAUGGCGAAGGC